AGGGUGUAAACGCUGCGGGCUUGGUGUUGGGGGUCCUUUGAGGGCGCCCAGUGCCGGAGAGAAGUUGUUAAGCCUGCUGCUUGGGGAGUACGUCCGCAAGGAUGAAACUUAAAGGAAUUGGCGGGGGAGGCACCGCAACGGGAGGAGCGUGCGGUUCAAUUGGAUUCAACGCCGGACAACUCACCAGGAGCGACGGUUACAUGAAGGACCAGGCUGAUGACCUUGCCUGAUUUUCCGUAGAGGUGGUGCAUGGCGUAGUCGUGU
rnacentral:rRNA from 1 species